CAGCUUAUAAUAUACGUAAGGUACUUCAGCCAAAUUCUUAUAUUCUCCAUUCAUAAUUCCCACAACUCAUUCUGCCGAGGAGGAGCUCAUGUUUUUUUUUUUAAAACAGUCAAGCAGUUUCAUAGCUUCAACAUCAAAGCAAAUUCAUGUCUUUGAACAGAACAUCCCCAAGGCUUUGUGGACCAAGGGGAUUAGCACUACUUUCCCAAGACAGGUUAUGUGAUUAUGAUCUUCAGGCUUUGCCUAUCCAGGUUGAGCAGUUGAUGGAAUGGAAUGAUGUUGAGCGGGUGUUCCUUUGACAUUUCAAGAAAUGUAACCUUGAGUAUACAUCUUCAUAUGUAUAUCUCACACGUUUUCCGCUGCAAAACACUUUGAUUAGGAUAACUUUAUGUUAUGAAAUUGUGACACGUGUUAUUGGGUAACCCACCUUAAUCAAUUCUCAUUUAUGUGUAUGUUUUAUAAGUAUCCAAAUAAUCAUAUAUGAUCCUAGCAUUUUAUCUAU